UACGUAGGGUGCAAGCGUUGUCCGGAAUUAUUGGGCGUAAAGAGCUCGUAGGCGGUUUGUUGCGUCGGCUGUGAAAACCUGAGGCUCAACCUCAGGCCUGCAGUCGAUACGAGCAGACUAGAGUGAUGUAGGGGAGACUGGAAUUCCUGGUGUAGCGGUGAAAUGCGCAGAUAUCAGGAGGAACACCGAUGGCGAAGGCAGGUCUCUGGGCAGUAACUGACGCUGAGGAGCGAAAGCAUGGGGAGCGAACAGG
rnacentral:rRNA from 1 species